AUUGAACGCUGGCGGCAGGCUUAACACAUGCAAGUCGAGCGGGGGAAGGUAGCUUGCUACCGGACCUAGCGGCGGACGGGUGAGUGAUGCUUAGGAAUCUGCCUACUAGUGGGGGACAACAUCUCGCAAGGGAUGCUAAUACCGCAUACGUCCUACGGGAGAAAGCAGGGGAUCUUCGGACCUUGCGAUAAUAGAUGAGCCUACGUCGGAUUAGCUAGUUGGUGGGGUAAAGGCCUACCAAGGCGACGAUCUGUAGCGGGUCUGAGAGGAUGAUCCGCCACACUGGGGCUGAGACACGGCCCAGACUCCUACGGGAGGCAGCAGUGGGGAAUAUUGGACAAUGGGGGGAACCCCGAUCCAGCCAUGCCGCGUGUGUGAAGAAGGCCUUAUGGUUGUAAAGCACUUUAAGCGAGGAGGAGGCUACUUUAGUUAAUACCUAGAGAUAGUGGACGUUACUCGCAGAAUAAGCACCGGCUAACUCUGUGCCAGCAGCCGCAGUAA
rnacentral:rRNA from 1 species